UGACGGUGCUGACAGCACAGAGAGCCAGGAAUCCGUUUACUGAGCGUUACAAUUAAACGGGCUCUGCGUUUCAGUUGAUUGUUGUCAGAUCUACUUAUUGCUCGACUUGCUAAAUAAGUGCAAAAGCAGCACGGCUUUUCUCUGUGUUUCACAGACCUCACGGACAUUUUAUUUAUCCGUUUGCUUAUUUUGCUCUGGAAAGUAUUUAAUACAAGGACGUAUUCUGUGAGCAGAGAGCGACUUCGACUUCAGUAGACAUGUGUAUAAGAAGAGACGACCAAUUACACGUCAUCUUUACGGUGUUGGUUCUCGCUGCUGCGGUGACAAGCAUACAUGGGCAAGUGUCUUCUCUAGAGAAUGGAAAUGUUGGGGGCCAGAGGAGAGUCGAAGCAGACAGCGGAGCCUUCACACACUCGUCCACACAGGACACAGAGAGUGAGAUCCACCAUUUUACCACAGCAUCCCCCAUGAACGUCCCUAACCACCGACCUGUCUUCAGAGGCUUCGCCCUACAUGAACUCCUGCUCACUAAAGAUUUCCAGGGAGACCAGCGGUUUUUCACAGACCAUGGAGAUGUAGAAGGACAUCCCACAAUGCCCGGCUCUGUUACUGCCUUUGAGGGGGGGGAUGCCUCAACUCGCCUGGUGCCACAUGAGGACGCCCCUGCCUUCUCUGACAUCGCCACUACUGCCACGGUGGCUGCCACAACCCCCCUCACCAUCUCUGCUUCCACAGACCCUGGGCUACUGGUGAGCAUGGCUCAGAAUAACCAGUUUGCCAAGGACAAGGCCAGGGAGGCAGAGAAGGUGGCAGUGACCACAGACUCCCUGACCACCCCUGUAGUGGCAACCACUGCCCCUAUAGUCAGUGGCCGCAGUCCCAAUGCCCCCCCCUUCCUGAAUGGAAGCGCCUAUGGUCAAGGGGAAGUUAUUAUGGAAGCCACCCUGCCCCCCCCUGUCCUGACCACCUCAGUUAGGGCGGAGAAAGGUGAGUCAGAGGAACCAGGGGUAAAGAACAAAACAGACCCUGGCAUCCAGCUCACCAAACUGACCCCCUUAUCCACAGGAGAGGUGGAUGAGGGAAUGACCACCACAACCAUCAUCACAACCACCACCAUCACCACCAUGCAGACACCAGGUCCCUGCACUGUGAAUUUCACUGACCCCGAGGGCCACAUCAAGAUUCCACAGCAGCAUUCUGCAGCAUUGUCGUCCGACCCUGGAGUGGAUUGCACCUAUGUGGUGACGGUCUACCUGGGAUACGGGAUUGAAGUACAGGUGCUGAACGUGAGCCUGUCUGAGGGGGAGGUGAUGACGGUGGAGGACAUGGGGGGACGGGAGUCCUCCAUCCUUGCCAACGAGACCGUCCUGAUGAGGGGUCUGGUGGUGCGCAGCUGGAGCAAUCAGAUCUCCAUCCGUUACCACAGUGACCAGCAGCCUCGCUCCGGCUCCCUGCUGCUGCUGCGUUACCAAGCCUUCGUUCUAAGCUGUGCCUUCCCUAAGGAGCCAGCCAAUGGGGAAGUAUCAGUAACUCACCUCCAUGCUGGGGGAGAAGCCUACUUCCAGUGUCUGACCGGAUACCAGCUGCAAGGCCCCACCAUGCUCACCUGUCGCAACGCCACUACACCUUACUGGAGUGGCAAGGAGCCCAAAUGCCUGGCUUCCUGUGGUGGUAUGAUUAAAAAUGCCACGUUGGGCCGUAUUGUCUCUCCUGGAUUCCCUGGCAACUACAGCAACAACUUGACGUGCCAUUGGGUCCUGGAGGCUCCUGAAGGCCACCGGCUUCAUGUUCACUUUGAGAAAAUGGCUUUGGCUGAGGAUGAUGACAGACUCCUUAUUAAGAAUGGGAACAACAUUGACUCCCCUCCGCUGUAUGACUCCUACGAGGUGGAGUACCUGCCCAAUGAGGGCGUGGUGAGCACAGGCCGUCACCUCUUUGUGGAGUUCACCACAGAUGGGACGGUCACCUCUACGGGAGCAGCAAUCAGAUAUGAAGCUUUUGCAAAGGGCACAUGCUAUGGGCCCUUUGUGAAGUAUGGCAACUUCACCAGCAGUGACACGGCCUACGGUGUGGGUGCGGUGGUGGAAUUUGCCUGUGACCCUGGCUACACUCUGGAGCAGGGCUCAGUCAUCAUUGAAUGUCUGGACGCAGAGAACCCCCAGUGGAAUGAGACAGAGCCAGCCUGCAGGGCUGUGUGUAGUGGUGAAAUCACAGACUCAGCCGGGGUGGUUCUCUCUCCAAACUGGCCGGAGACCUACGACAAGGGCCAGGACUGCAUCUGGGGCAUCCACGUGGAAGAGGACAAGAGGAUUAUGCUGGACAUCCAAGUGCUCAAUGUGGGUAAGAAUGACCUGUUGACCUUCUACGACGGUGAUGACCUAACAGCUAACAUCCUGGGUCAGUACAGUGGCACCAGGUCUCGCUUCAAGCUCUACACUUCUAUGGCUGAUGUCACCAUCCAGUUCCAGUCGGACCCUGCCACCAACAUCUACGGCUACGGCAACGGCUUCGUGGUCCACUUCUUUGAGGUCCCCAGGAACGAUACAUGCUCUGAGCUGCCAGAGAUCACCAACGGCUGGAAGAGUACCUCCCACCCAGACCUGAUCCACGGGACAGUGGUCACCUACCAGUGUUACCCAGGUUACGAGGUGCAGGGCUCGGAGAUCCUAAUGUGCCAGUGGGACCUGACGUGGAGCGGAGAUGUGCCUAGCUGUGAGAAAGUAAUGACAUGUCCGGACCCGGGGACUGUGGAGCACAGUCGGAGGGUGCUGACGGGAUCCCGCUUCAUGGUGGGAUCAACGGUGCAGUAUGUGUGCAAUAAGGGCUACUCCCUGUCUGGAAGCACACUGCUCACCUGCUACAACAGAGACACAGCUAACCCCAAGUGGAGUGAGAGGCUUCCCAAGUGUAACCCGGAGAGGUACGAGCCCUGCAGGAACCCUGGAGCCCCGUCCACCAGCGUGCAGAGCUUAGAAAAGGCCUUCUACCAGGCCGGGGAGACCCUGAGCUUCACCUGUCGUACCGGCUAUGAGAUGCAGGGGGAGCCCACCAUCCGCUGUGUCCCUGGACACCCGUCACAGUGGAGCGGCACACCACCCACCUGUAGCGCAUCCUCCUCGCAGUAUUUGAACAAGCGCAAGUUGGAUGUUGCUAGUCCUGACUACGGUAUGGAAGGAAGCAACAUUGUCAUUGCUGUUCUGAUUCCUGCUGCGGUCGUACUGCUAGUCAUCCUGGGGAUUUACCUCUACUUUGCAAAACUUCAGGGGAAGACCAUCAGAAUGCCAACAUCAUCUUUGCCGCCGUAUGACAACAUGACAGAGGAGUCUGCCUUUAAUAACCCAAUCUAUGAGACAGGAGUAAGUAUGGAUGUCAUGCACAUGAAUCUCCGAGACGUGGACUCCCAGAACACCAUAGUCCUGUCCUGAUCCAUCUCAUCGUCAUCUGUCUGCCUGUCAUCUCAUGUUUAACCAGCUGAGGGCACUCUUCACACCGUCUCCCACCGCAGACACAGGGGUCUGAGCUGUGCCUCUCAAUUUGUGGUCUUGUGUUGAAUGCAGACAAUCACCUACAAAUUAUCUCUCUCAACUUUGAAGCGUGGAAGCCUUACAGUUUACUUAGCUUUAAAGCUUUAUAAAAAUAUGUGCAUUUUCAGUGGAUCAAUAGGAUUGUACAAGCACUCAAUCAGUGGAUUGGAUUAGGGACAGAUGUAGUACACUACACAUAUACGUUUCCAUUUGUGAUGACCUCUGUAGGUUCCAUUUUGAGCUUUGCACAGUGCUUCUGUUCGGACUAUGCUUCUGGAUAGAUGAAUGUAAUAUUUUACUGCAUGAAGGUGAAAAAGCUUGAACAAAAAUGCUUAAUGUCAACUUCAAAGACACUUUAAAGCUCCUCCAUCUUUGUGUCAUCAUCAUCAUGUCAUUCACAUGGGAUUGAGUUAAUUGGGUCUUAUCCAUUAAUUAGUUUGAAUUACUUUUGAAAAGUGUACAUUUAUGGGCCCUAUCAGGGGCGCAAAUCUGGUUUUAGAAGUGGGGAGACAUAUUUAUUAUUAUUUUGUAUUAUACGUUUUUCUUAUCCAGUCGGAUAAAUACUCCAAACAGCCUACCCGACCACUCAGAGAUGUCCGCAUGGUCCUGAAACACAUCGUUGCAUCGUUUUGUAUCACAUUCCAAUGAUAAAACUGGGGGGGCCAAAAAUUAUAUUUCAGAAUGUGGGGGGGUAUUACCCCCCGUCCCCUGUCCACACCCCAUCCACACAGCCCUAUCCCCCGUCCCCGUCCUCAGUGAAAGUUGCACCCCUGGACCCUACUAUAAAUGAUUGUUUUUGAAUCACAUAGGCUAUAACAAAUGUCAAUGUACAAUAAUAGACUGUAUUUACAUCUACACUUAGUAUUGACGUUACUUUUAUGUGCUGCACACAACAUUUCAGAGCACUUAAAAUAACAACCAAAAUCCUUAGAUUUGACAUUUAGUUUGUCAGGAAUUCUUGUACUUGUCUUACAUAUUUAUAUAGAUGUGUGUACAAAUAUAUCAGUUACUUGUAUUUGUUAGGUCAUUGAAAUGUAUUUGUUUUAUUUAAUGUGAGUGUUGGAUUUGUUGUGCAAUGUCACAGGCACAUUGUUCAAGCAACAGAAUGCUGCCAUGUCUAUUAUUGUGUUGUGUUAAACUAUUCAUCAUCUCUGUUACAAAUGUUAGUGAUGCAUAAAAUUCUCCUAAACUACAGCAACUUUGUGCUUGAUAAACCAUCUGACUUGAAUCAUGCCCUUGAUUCAAAAUAUGUUCCUAUUAGUCACUCUGCUGUGGGACUUGAGCGGAUGCUGUGUCUCUCUCAUUCUUUACUUUCAUGUUCUGGACUCUGGACAUUUUGACUGGACCAUACUCUCCUCCUCCACCUCUUCUUCCCAUCAGCCCCGGCAGGCGUUCUGUGAUUACUAAUGACUGUGUCUGUCUGUCCCUCCUUGGCUGCCUGCAGAAGAACAACGAGGGCAAAGGAGAUUAUGAGGUGACCAUUUAAAGACCUUACAGCUGGGAAUUCAGGGGUUUCUUUUUGGGACCCUCUCUGCACCUCUCAUCUUACCUGCAAUGACUUCAGCUCCUAUUCCUCCCUCCUUCCUCUUUCUCUUAAUUCACUCCUUUUUUGUGGGCUUUUGUAAAUAUCUCUUUCCAGAGGACUUCUACCAAAACUGCAAAGAUGGUGGAUCAACAUGGUGUUAUUUUUGUAGACCUUUGACGCAGAUGGCCUUUCUUUAGUGUUUGUACAUUUUCAUUUCAUAACUGAGCCCAUGACUGGUAAUAUUGUGGGUGGGAUACAUUUAGUUCAAAUGGUUUAGGUUUUAAGAUUUACAUAAGAAAUGUGAAGAACAAAUGUACGGUUUAUGCAUUGUCAUGGGUCUUGAAAUAUACAGUAUACAUGAAAAAUACAAAAUGACACAAAGUUGUUUGAACAUUGUCCAAAUAUCAAUUUUGCUACUAUAAUUCAACCAUCCAGUCUAUCUAUGGGUUUUAAAUAUCACUUUGUAAAUAACCUGCCUGUCUAAUGUGAGGGUGUCUGCGACUUGAGGAAACAAAUUAGUGCUUUGUUCAAUUUGACUCACAGUUUUGUUGAGAGACUUUUUCUGUGGUAAAACAACUAUAAAUGUACACUUCCGGUCAAAAGUUUUAGAACGCCUACUCAUUCAAGGGUUUUUCUUUAUUUUUACUAUUUUCUACAUUG